rnacentral:sRNA from 1 species
GCACGGAUUGAGUGUGGAACUGAGUUCCACAGA